GACUAUCAGCAAUGGAUGUCUUGGCUCCCAUAACGAUGAAGGACGCAGCAAAAUGUGAUAAGCAUUGUGAAUUGCAGAAUUCUUAGAAUCAAUAGAAAGCUGAACGCAUACGGCACUGUAACUUGUUACAGUACGUUUGUUUCAGAGUCAA
rnacentral:rRNA from 1 species